GUGGGGAAUAUUGGACAAUGGGCGCAAGCCUGAUCCAGCCAUGCCGCGUGAAUGAUGAAGGUCUUAGGAUUGUAAAAUUCUUUCACCGGGGACGAUAAUGACGGUACCCGGAGAAGAAGCUCCGGCUAACUUCGUGCCAGCAGCCGCGGUAAUACGGAGGGGGCUAGCGUUGUUCGGAAUUACUGGGCGUAAAGCGCACGUAGGCGGACUGGAAAGUCAGGGGUGAAAUCCCGGGGCUCAACCCCGGAACUGCCUUUGAAACUGCCAGUCUUGAGUUCGAGAGAGGUGAGUGGAAUUCCGAGUGUAGAGGUGAAAUUCGUAGAUAUUCGGAGGAACACCAGUGGCGAAGGCGGCUCACUGGCUCGAUACUGACGCUGAGGUGCGAAAGCGUGGGGAGCAAACGGGAUUAGAAACCCUGGUAGUCC
rnacentral:rRNA from 1 species